GCUGGAUAGCUCAGUGGGUUAGAGCAUGGUGCUGAAAAUGCCAAGGCUGCAGGUUUGAUCCCAGCUGCAUAUU
rnacentral:tRNA from 1 species